UAGGGAAUCUUCCGCAAUGGACGAAAGUCUGACGGAGCAACGCCGCGUGAGUGAUGAAGGUUUUCGGAUCGUAAAGCUCUGUUGCCAGGGAAGAACGUCCGGUAGAGUAACUGCUAUCGGAGUGACGGUACCUGAGAAGAAAGCCCCGGCUAACUACGUGCCAGCAGCCGCGGUAAUACGUAGGGGGCAAGCGUUGUCCGGAAUUAUUGGGCGUAAAGCGCGCGCAGGCGGUCAUUUAAGUCUGGUGUUUAAUCCUGGGGCUCAACCCCGGGUCGCACUGGAAACUGGGUGGCUUGAGUACAGAAGAGGAGAGUGGAAUUCCACGUGUAGCGGUGAAAUGCGUAGAUAUGUGGAGGAACACCAGUGGCGAAGGCGACUCUCUGGGCUGUAACUGACGCUGAGGCGCGAAAGCGUGGGGAGCAAACA
rnacentral:rRNA from 1 species